rnacentral:piRNA from 1 species
UAGUCAGGAAGACAGUUAAUCAGGACCAU